GCGAACGCUGGCGGCGUGCUUAACACAUGCAAGUCGAACGGAAAGGCCCUGCUUUUGUGGGGUGCUCGAGUGGCGAACGGGUGAGUAACACGUGAGUAACCUGCCCUUGACUUUGGGAUAACUUCAUGAAACUGGGGCUAAUACCGGAUAGGAGCUCCUGCUGCAUGGUGGGGGUUGGAAAGUUUCGGCGGUUGGGGAUGGACUCGCGGCUUAUCAGCUUGUUGGUGGGGUAGUGGCUUACCAAGGCUUUGACGGGUAGCCGGCCUGAGAGGGUGACCGGCCACAUUGGGACUGAGAUACGGCCCAGACUCCUACGGGAGGCAGCAGUGGGGAAUAUUGCACAAUGGGCGGAAGCCUGAUGCAGCAACGCCGCGUGCGGGAUGACGGCCUUCGGGUUGUAAACCGCUUUCGCCUGUGACGAAGCGUGAGUGGCGGUAAUGGGUAAAGAAGCACCGGCUAACUACGUG
rnacentral:rRNA from 1 species